UAUAAGUGUAGUUUUAUUCUUGCUUUGUCAUUCAGUUUAUGUUUGUCCUAUAUGUAAGUUUGUGCGUAAUUUGUUGUGAAGUUCUAGAUGAAUUUUAUUAGGUGGUUAUUUGUUUAAUUCUCAUUAGUUAUCAUUGGUUGAUCAAGCAUUCUUGUAUUCAGCAAUGCAUUUUGGUUUCGGUUAAAUUUUGUGCCAGCAGCCGCGGUUAUACCUUGGAAGCGUUUGAAUGUGUUCGGUUUGGUAGUUGUAUUUUUAGUUUGUGGAUUGUGUUUUGGUUAUUGUUAGGUGAAAUUUUUAUUAUUAUAUUUUUCUUAUAUCUGUUUGGAGGCUAUGAAAUUCCUUUUAUAGACUAGGAUUAGAUACCCUAUUAUUUUGGAAUGUUAAUUUGUUGUGACCUGAGUAGUAUUAGUUAUGUUCUUGAAACUUAAAGAAUUUGGCGGUAUCUCAUUCCGUCCAGAGGAAUCUGUCUCGUUAUCGAUAGUCCGCGUUGGACCUUGCUUGGUUGCUUUGGUUUGUAUACCGCCGUUUAUUUGAUUAUCUUUUUAGAGUUUAUUUAAUUUUCUAGUUUCUUUAUUUUGUUUUAUUUCAGGUCAAGGUGCAGCUUGUUUCCAAGUGAUUGAUGGAUUACAUUGUUAUUUGUUUUGUGGAUUGCUUAUUUAGAGUUGGGCAUGAAAUUGGAUUUGGUUGUAAUGGUUUGUAGAUUGUUACUAUGAUAAUUGGUUCUGGGAUAUGCACACAUCGCCCGUCGCUCUCGUUGAUUUAUGAUGAGAUAAGUCGUAACAAAGUGGCUGUACCGGAAGGUGCGGCUGGAUUGAG
rnacentral:ncRNA from 1 species